rnacentral:rRNA from 1 species
AAUAUCGCGCAAUGGAGGGAACUCUGACGCAGUGACGCCGCGUGAGCGAUGAAGGUUUUCGGAUCGUAAAUCUCUGUCCUUGGGGAAGAAGGUCUUCGGACUUGACGGUACCCGAGGAGGAAGCCUCGGCUAACUACGUCACAGCAGCAGCGGUAAUACGUAGGGGGCAAGCGUUGUCCGGAAUUAUUGGGCGUAAAGGGUGCGUAGGCGGCUUGUUAAGUCAGAUGUGAAAGACCACGGCUUAACCGUGGGGUUGCAUUUGAAACUGGAAGGCUUGAGUAUCGGAGAGGGUAGUAGAAUUCCCAGUGUAGCGGUGAAAUGCGUAGAUAUUGGGAGGAACACCAGUGGCGAAGGCGACUACCUGGACGAAAACUGACGCUGAUGCACGAAAGCUAGGGGAGCAAAC